GCCCUCGUGGUGUAAUGGAUAACACGACAGCCUUCGAAGCUGUAUAUGGGAGUUCGAUUCUCUCCGGGGGCA
rnacentral:tRNA from 1 species